rnacentral:rRNA from 1 species
GACGAACGCUGGCGGCGUGCUUAACACAUGCAAGUCGAACGGAAAGGCCCUGCUUUUGUGGGGUGCUCGAGUGGCGAACGGGUGAGUAACACGUGAGUAACCUGCCCUUGACUUUGGGAUAACUUCAGGAAACUGGGGCUAAUAUCGGAUAGGAGCUCCUGCUGCAUGGUGGGGGUUGGUAAGUUUCGGCGGUUGGGGAUGGACUCGCGGCUUAUCAGCUUGUUGGUGGGGUAGUGGCUUACCAAGGCUUUGACGGGUAGCCGGCCUGAGAGGGUGACCGGCCACAUUGGGACUGAGAUACGGCCCAGACUCCUACGGGAGGCAGCAGUGGGGAAUAUUGCACAAUGGGCGGAAGCCUGAUGCAGCAACGCCGCGUGCGGGAUGACGGCCUUCGGGUUGUAAACCGCUUUCGCCUGUGACGAAGCGUGAGUGACGGUAAUGGGUAAAGAAGCACCGGCUAACUACGUG